rnacentral:rRNA from 1 species
GAUGAACGCUGGCGGCGUGCUUAACACAUGCAAGUCGAACGGUGAAGCAGGAGCUUGCUCCUGUGGAUCAGUGGCGAACGGGUGAGUAACACGUGAGCAAUCUGCCCUGGACUCUGGAAUAAGCGUUGGAAACGACGUCUAAUACCGGAUACGAGGCGUGGGGGCAUCCCCAACGCCUGGAAAGAACUUCGGUCCAGGAUGAGCUCGCGGCCUAUCAGGUAGUUGGUGAGGUAACGGCUCACCAAGCCUACGACGGGUAGCCGGCCUGAGAGGGUGACCGGCCACACUGGGACUGAGACACGGCCCAGACUCCUACGGGAGGCAGCAGUGGGGAAUAUUGCACAAUGGGCGCAAGCCUGAUGCAGCAACGCCGCGUGAGGGACGACGGCCUUCGGGUUGUAAACCUCUUUUAGCAGGGAAGAGGCGAAAGUGACGGUACCUGCAGAAAAAGCACCGGCUAACUACGUGCCAGCCGCCGCCGUAACAC